GGGUGGGCCUUGUUUCUGAGGAAAUAAAGAGGCCACAGAACCUCCCAAGUGAGUGAAUGGUUUCCAGAUAGUCAAGUGGAGCAGCCUCUGGCUACAUGAGCUGGAUGUGCUUGGCGGUAUUUCCAUGAGGCUGGCCGGUAUCCUGAUGUUAGCAAAGCAGAAGGCAAAUCUUUGGGGAGCUAAAGGACGUGUGCACGUGCCAGUACUUUUGACAAAUGUUCAGUUAAUUGUUUUCUAUGAUUCUUCUCUUGAGACACCAACUUUGAACCAAGAAAUGCCUCCUCCCACCAUCCCAGACCCCAGGGGAAACCUGAGAAUUACACACUUUUGGGCCAAGCUUCCGCCCCGCAGGAAAUGGAAGAUCAGCCCCCGGGGAUGAAAGAAUGAUGGAGGGCCUGGGAAAGCAGAGAAAUCUCGUGGGUGACAAAGAAGACAAACUCACACAAAUAAAGUCUGUUUUUGUAUGCCAAUAUGAUGAACUCAGAUUUUCUCAUAAGGAUACCAGCAAAUGGUCAUCAGAAGAGGCCCCGGACAGACGCAAUUCACCAAAGUCUCUACCACAGACAUUCUCAGAUGGUGCUAAUAAAAAGAAGAAACCCAAACCAGAAUUGGUGGUCCACAUUGUGAGAGUUGCUAAAUAUCAUCACAAAGCAAUAAUUAUCUUUCUGCGUGCUUGGUGGCUCAACAUUCUGAAAUGCAAAUGUCAAGAGCA